GUGGUCAUAAACCUUGUGUUUAUAUUUCAUAGAUUUCUCUUUACUUAAACUAAAGUUAUAGUGCGAAAACCAAUGUGUCUCGACGCCAACGUCGUAUAAAAAUGGGGGUCGCUGGGCAAAAUUUGUUAAGGCAUUCAAAUGGAUAAAACCAGAGGAUUCUGAAAAUCUGACCAAAGUUCCAAAACAUGACAAGCGAGCUUCCUUAAUAUAGGCAUCUGUUGACUUGUCAACCUGUCGACCUGUCUACCAGUCAACCAUAAAAGACUAUUUUAUUCUAUCAAAUUGUCAACCAUUACAAUCAUAAUUUUCCAUUUCAUCAAAUAAUAAUUAUAAAAUGAUCAGUAUUAAUUAACUGUUUUUAUAACUAUAAUACAAGUUUUUAUUUGCAUAGGAAUACAUAUCAAAAGCCGGAACUAAAUAUCUGUAUACUACAUUUGAGCCAAACAAAUAGCAGCAUUAAAAACAACAAUUUGUUAAUUUACAGUCAAUGGAAAAA
rnacentral:lncRNA from 1 species